GCUUCUGAUGACGCGACGCGACGCGACGCGGCGGCUCUGGUCUCUUCCCACUGCGCAGGAAGCGAGACGCGCAGAAGCACCAGAAGUUAAACGCAAAGGUAACGCGGCACACGCAACAGCAAGCAGCCGUUUUUUUUUUUUUUACUGUAACCGCUCGGAGUUUCCCGCGAAUGCAAGAGGAACCGUCUCGAGCAGAAUAAAUGGUUAUCAAGGCGCCAGAAACAGCGCUAGAGCGAAGGAAGCUGUUAAAAGAUGCAGCGCUGGGAGUCUUUUAAAGCCUGGUUCUUCUGGCGACUUGGCAGAGCUCAACCACGGAAGUCAGAGCGCUACGGGCCAAAGACGACCGAUAAAGGUCCAGACAUGA
rnacentral:lncRNA from 1 species